rnacentral:tRNA from 1 species
GCAUCUGUAGCUCAGUUGGUUAGAGCGCUGCAUCGGAAUCGCAGGGCCGUAGGUUCAAUUCCUACCAGAGGAC